CAACCAUUAAGCACCAGUCUGCUUAGCGUUGGGACCUUGCGGGGAACCGCAACUCCCUAAAACCAUCGGCGGGGCCGGGAUGGCUUCAGGCGUAGUAGAUCUCUUCUCGCCUCCACAGACAUCCCCGUGCCACGGCCGCGAACCGAGCUCGGGUGGCUUCACGCCGCCCGUCCUCACUUUUUUCUU
rnacentral:misc_RNA from 1 species